rnacentral:rRNA from 1 species
AGCUCCAAUAGCGUAUAUUAAAGUUGUUUUGCCAGAAUCUUACGGGUGAUCUUUACCGAUUGUCCGUUGGAACUGGCAGGUUUACUUUGAAAAAAUUAGAGUGCUCAAAGCAAGCUUACUGCUUGAAUAGUUGCGCAUGGAAUAAUAGAAUAGGAAGUCGUUUCUAUUUUGUUGGUUUUCGGAAAUCGACUUAAUGAUUAAUAGGGAUAGUCGGGGGCAUUCGUAUUCAAACGACAGAGGUGAAAUUCUUGGACCGUUUGAAGACGAACUAAGGCGAAAGCAUUUGCCAAGAAUGUUUUCA